AGCAGUCUCUGCGGCCUUAUCUUCCCAUCUGCGAACCAGGGGAAGCUCUUGUGUCACCUCCCUGGCUGGUGGGGAAGACUGGUCAACUCUGGGCUUGGUGAAGGGCAGGCCUCACAGGGAGAGGGGAAAGAAGAAAGAGAGAGGAACAUUGAUCAGUUGCCUCUCACACACCCCCAACUAGGGACGGGCCCACAACCCAGGCCUGUGCCCCCCGACUGGGAAUCGAAUGAGCCACAGGCCAGCGCUCAGUCCACUGAGCCACCCGAGUUAUUUGCUUUCUCUUGUGUUUUUGUUUCACGAAGCAAGCCGGGCUCCGGUUUUAAAACACAACCAGCCCCAAAUCAACAAGAGGAAAUCUGUCCACACACACCAGGCCCCGACUGAUCACCG